AGGAUAAAAGUUUUAUAACAUUUAAUUUGCAUUUAAAAAAUAUUGAAUAAUCAAUUUAUCUUA
rnacentral:tRNA from 1 species